rnacentral:lncRNA from 1 species
AUGGGAAAACCUGUUGGAUGUCUGGGUGACUCAUUCAGAGUUGUUAGAGAGUUGACUAUGUUUUCAUAUUUACGAACUUAUAUUUGAGGUUUAUAAAUUGUGAUUGAUGGUCUUUCUUUUUAUUAAUUAUCACAUACUUGUAUUAUUGUCACUUACCCGAGCUCUGCAGUUUAUCUGAGUUCCGUUUGGCCGGUGCACCAUUUCCAUGAUGUAGGCACUGAUUUUACAUAUGACAGGUCUGGGUAGAUUAUGAGAAACCGCUUGAUAUUUUGGUUCCGUUCAGUGGUCCGAAACCCGGUGUCGUUGGAUUUCGUUGAGUGGUUCGGAAUCCUUGCUCUCGCUCAUUCCCAUAAGGUUAGUCUAGAACCCUAGAUUCAAGUGAAUGAGAAUUACCCACAAUAGACCUUGUGAAUAUGAAAUAGAUUCACCAUGUUAUUGCUCAUAAUCUAAGUAGGAAAUUAUAUAGAGUUCCUUGGUUAAAUUCGUGAAAUGAUAUGUUAUUGCAUUCAUUGAUUAACAUAAUUAAAUGCUAAGAUCAUGUAUCUUUGAUUCAUGAAUUGAUUGAUUGACGGAAUUGUGGAAUGACCUUGGUUAUGGUUGUUAUUAUUAUGAUUAUUUUAGUUGAUCAAUGUGGCUUGAAAAUAAUAUGUGCUUCGUUGGUUAUUUGAUAUGUUACAUGUUGUGGAUGGAAGUAUCGUGCUGAAAACAUGGAAUUUAUAUGAUGGAUGGAAUGAGAAUCUUGAACGGCAUGUUGGUUUGUUUUGUAGCCCUGAACUUGGUAAUGUCAUGCAUGUCAAGUUCUAAUAAUUGAUUACAUAAUGCUAUGUAUUCCUAUUAGAACGCAUUGGAAUAAAUGUCUAAAUUAGUGAACG